rnacentral:miRNA from 1 species
UGCUUCCUUUCUCAGCUG